AUGAACGCUAGCGGCAGGCUUAACACAUGCAAGUCGAACGGUAACAUAGAGAGCUUGCUUUCUGAUGACGAGUGGCGAACGGGUGCGUAACGCGUAUGCAACCUACCUUAAACAGGGGUAUACCCCAGAGAAAUUUGGAUUAAUCCCCCAUAGUAUAAUCAUUUCGCAUGUUAUGAUUAUUAAAACUUCGGUGGUUUAAGAUGGGCAUGCGUGACAUUAGAUAGUUGGUGAGGUAACGGCUCACCAAGUCAACGAUGUCUAGGGGUUCUGAGAGGAUUAUCCCCCACACUGGUACUGAGACACGGACCAGACUCCUACGGGAGGCAGCAGUGAGGAAUAUUGGUCAAUGGACGAAAGUCUGAACCAGCCAUGCCGCGUGAAGGAUGACUGCCCUACGGGUUGUAAACUUCUUUUAUGUAGGAAGAAACCUCUCUUCGUGAAGAGAGCUGACGGUACUACACGAAUAAGCACCGGCUAACUCCGUGCCAGCAGCCGCGGUAAUACGGAGGGUGCAAGCGUUAUCCGGAUUCAUUGGGUUUAAAGGGUGCGUAGGCGGGUUAUUAAGUCAGUGGUGAAAGCCCACAGCUCAACUGUGGAACUGCCACUGAUACUGAUAGUCUUGAAUAUGAUUGAAGUUGGCGGAAUAUGACAUGUAGCGGUGAAAUGCAUAGAUAUGUCAUAGAACACCGAUAGCGAAGGCAGCUAACUAAGUCAUUAUUGACGCUGAGGCACGAAAGCGUGGGGAGCGAACAGGAUUAGAUACCCUGGUAGUCCACGCUGUAAACGAUGAUCACUUGCUAUGGCGAUAUACUGUCAGUGGCAUAGCGAAAGUGUUAAGUGAUCCACCUGGGGAGUACGAUCGCAAGGUUGAAACUCAAAGGAAUUGACGGGGGCCCGCACAAGCGGUGGAGCAUGUGGUUUAAUUCGAUGAUACGCGAGGAACCUUACCAGGGCUUAAAUGGGAAAUGACAGAUUUGGAAACAAGUCCUUCUUCGGACAUUUUUCAAGGUGCUGCAUGGUUGUCGUCAGCUCGUGCCAUGAGGUGUUGGGUUAAGCCCCGUAACGAGCGCAACCCCUAUCUUUAGUUGCCAGCGGUUCGGCCGGGGACUCUAAAGAAACUGCCAGCGUAAGCUGUGAGGAAGGUGGGGAUGACGUCAAAUCAUCACGGCCCUUACGCCCUGGGCCACACACGUGCUGCAAUGGUAGGUACAGAGGGCAGCUACCUGGUGACAGGAUGCGAAUCUCAAAAACCUAUCUCAGUUCGGAUUGGAGUCUGCAACUCGACUCUAUGAAGCUGGAAUCGCUAGUAAUCGCGUAUCAGCCAUGACGCGGUGAAUACGUUCCCGGGCCUUGUACACACCGCCCGUCAAGCCAUGGAAGCUGGGGGCGCCUGAAGUCGGUAACCGUAAGGAGCUGCCUAGGGUGAAACUAGUAACUGGGGCUA
rnacentral:rRNA from 1 species